rnacentral:lncRNA from 10 species
CAGAGUUAUGGAGAUAGGAGCUGGUGGGGUUGAGGUCUGGGAGAAUUUACUGUUCAGUCGUGGAACCUGAUGAUAGGUUUGAAAGAUGUCUCAGUUCAUCUCCAUCUGAAGUUGUUGGAGCCUCAGGAGCACAGAGCUUUGGGGGUCUUGCUGAGCCAGCACCCUGCCCUCCGGGAGCACUGUCACCUGGGAAAUGGUCCUGCCAGGAACAUUUUCAAGAAGUGUCCCUUGCACACUCAUACAGACAUAUUCACACACACACACAUACAGCUUUCUGGGCACCAGCUAAGUAAUACAGACAAAAGUCCAACUCCCCAGCCAGGUACUCUUCUCCAUGACUGGACCCAGAAGGAUCUCCUCUGAGGUCACUUUUUCCUGCUUUGUAAUGAAUCUAAUUACAGCCAUGGGUCAUAUAAACUGGACCCCCCCUUCCCCACUUAUCCUUUUACUUUGGCUGGCCUAGCAGAGAAGACUUAGCCACAGCCAAGGAGAUGGGUUCUUUUCCCUGUGGACCCUCUGUUUCCUCCAGAGGGACUCCCAGAGCAAAUGCCUGCGUGCAGUGCAGCCUCCGCUGAAGCUCCUGGACAUCUCCAGAGAGAACACAGGCUCAGAUCCUCUCAACCUGGACUCAGACCUGGGUUCCCUCCCCUUGCUGCACAGAGGAUCAUACAGUAAUACACAGCAUGCUCAACUAAAUUAGAAUUCCAGGGAAAUGAUGAAUGAUAUUUUGGUAUAUUUCAUGCAAUAUUGGGGAUAUACUUAUACUAAAUGUUAUUCAUUAUUGGUCUGAAAUUCAAAUGUAACUGGGCUUCCCGUAUUUUUAUCAGUUAAAUCUGCCAACCCUAUACCCAUGGGGCCUUGGGCGGGUGCAGCUUUAAAAAAUAUUCUGUGCCUCAGUUUCCUCAUCUUUUCAAAGGGGGACAAUAACAAUAAUAGAGCUGACUCCGUGUGGCCCGUGUGAGGAGUGCACAAAGGAAGCACUAGGCAAAUGUGAGGUGUGUUCACUCAUUCAUUCUGUCAAUAACCUUGUGUAGUACAUUUCCUCUAUAUGAGGCCCUGAGCCAGGCUGGGGCCUGGGGAGGGGCAAUACCAAACAUGGCAGAUAUAGGUUCUACCUCCUGGACUUUCGUUGUUGGUGGGAUGAGUCCAAAGAGGGGCUCUGCAGAUGGUCGGCUGGGCCAUUUGUUCCUCUGCAGUGGUUUUCUGUUUCUUGAAGAGUCUUUACAGGGACGGUCAGCAUGAAGUCCAUGGGAGAUGAACCUGCCUUGAUGGUAUCAACUCAGCAGGUCUGAUGAGCAAGUGCUUUGCAGCCCAGGCUCCCCCUCAUCUCUGGGCAUUUGGAACAUCCCACCUGAGUGUCCUGUGCCCGAGCCCCAGCUGCUGUCCUGAGAUGCUGCCUGAGACCGCCAUCCACCUCCCGUGAGUGUUGAUGGGACUCUUGGCUGACCUGGUAAGCUCUGCUGGCCAGGGAAGGAGGUGGAGUGAGGGAUCCUGCAAGGAAGUAGAGUUGCUUGCUUUUCCAGCAAUGGUCAGCCUCGACAGACAGCCCUGGGGGACCCUUAAUGCCUGUUCUCCUUCCUGUCCCAUGAGCACAAGGCACCAGGAUUUAGCUCAGUCCCUGGGGUGGGCAGGCUGGCUGGCCCAGGGUGGUACAGAGGAGUGGGUCCAGAGCAAGGAAGGUCUGGCUGUUGGACCCUUGUAGGGUGUGCAGGCCACCAGUCAGCUGCCUGUGGUCAAGCAGGGCAGUGUCUGGGUUUAUAUCUCCAGGGACAAGUGCGAAAGCAGAGAGCAGAGCCGGAGGGUGAGCGGGGUGAGCGGAGACGCCCCUCCCUGGUAGAAAGACCACACAUGCAAAACAGCCAUCCAACGUUAAGGGUUUCCUGGAUCUCCAGACCCAACUCAGGGAUCCUGGAGCCUGCAGCCAUCAGUUGAGCUUGGGGGACCAAAUUCAGUCAUUUCAGCCCAGAGUGCAGGAGCAGGCUGAAAACAGAUGGUGUAAAACAAAAAUCACAGGAAAGCAUGCAAGGUCGGGGUGCAGCUGCAUUUUCCCUGUAUGUGCCAGGGCCUCUCUGCAGGCCAGGGGGCCAGACCCAGUGACCAUGUCCUCUGAGAGCUUUCUGACUGCUCAGGUAGUUGCAGCAGGAGCUUAGGUGGAAGGAACUGUGCACCCUUUUUCGCAGAUGCAGAUGGGUGCAGGGUCAGGGUUGCAAGGAAAUCCAUGUUUUCUUGGCAGCUUCUUUUUGUUCCACGUUCAAAAUAUAUUUGUCUCUGGUCCUGGUCCUGCAUUAAUGGACUCUGACAUGUUGCUGUCAGUAGAGUGAAAUCCCAAGCAGAGGAAUUCCAAGCCACUCGGGAGUCCCUCUCAGACUCUCGGCGGCGAUCACGGUAUAUUAAGGGGAAGUUCAUCUCUUUUAGUCUGAGUUUUUAUUUGACAUGUUGCUAUAUUAAUGUCAAGAAGUCUACUUUAGCAAGUCCCUUUACAACGCAGCCUCAGGAGCUGCAUUACUGACAGAGAGAUUGGAGUUUCAGGAUGUGCCACGGAAAAAAUAAUCUCUGAGUUUCAUUUUGAAUAGCGAAAAUCUGAAUGAAAAACCCCCCGUAAUUGUCUGAUGGGAAAUAUAUUGUCUCACAAUAUCAGUUUCAUUGAUUCCCUUUCAUAUUUGUAUUAAAACUGAAAAGCUAGCAAUAACCUCAGCCUGUUAUUGGAAAUGUGGGUGUGGGAGGGAACAGCAGCCUGGGUAGGGAGGCAGGAAUUAAUCAGAGAAGAAAAGAGAGAGUCCUUGUGGGCCCCCCCCCGGAUCUUUUGUCUUCCUUCACACAGAAACACCAGCGAUGGCAGUUUUACAAAAGGGGUGAGCCGUUAAAUUAUCAUGGCAUUAUCUUUGUGUCUGUCUCUUUGUGUUAGGUAAAUAAUGCUCAAAUGAGAGGACAGUCCAUGACCUUGAGUGUGUCAACACAAUCUCUGCCAGCUGUCGCCUACUUUCAUCUUCAUGACACAUGCGGGGAGAGGAAAGAAGGAAGUAAUGGGCAGAAAAUGCCCUAAGACAGGAUCAUCGGCAGGUGUGGGGGGAUGGUGGGGACCUGCACCAGGCACAUUAGACCCCUGGUGAGUUUUGCUCGCAUGGAAUCCAAAACUCUAUAUUCCAACAAGUGUUUGCUGAGCAUCUACUUGCACUCUGACCUCACACUAGGAAUCUUGGAAGGUACAAAAUGAGGACGCCUCAGCCCCUGCUUCUUCAGAGCUGCAGUACAAGUUCAUACCACCUACAUUGAGAAUCAGGAAGUGCCGUGGCUGGUCUCCAAGAAGGCCCCCAAUGAACCAAUAACCCGCUUCUCACCUGGCGUUCACUGUGUGUGCAGUCCUCUCUCCUAUAGCUCCAGGUUGCUGUGUGAGACCACAGUGCACAGCAGACCCUUCUGAAAUGAGGUUGUACAAACUGCCACUUCCGUCUUAGGGGCGACUUGCUUUCUGGUUGUCUCUCCUUCUGGGAGUUCAGCGGCCACAGGAAGAAGUCUAGGCCAUGCUGCUGGAGAAGAGAGACCCAGGAGGGUGAGAGGCCACCUGGAGAAGAGAGACCCAGGAGGGUGAGAGGCCACCUGGAGGAGAGACACCCAGGAGGGUGAGAGGUUGCCUGGAGGAGAGAGACCCGGGAGGGUGAGAGGCUGCCUGGAGGGGAACGGAAGCCAAACUCCACCUGCCAGCCCUCUGAGUCAGCCUUCUUGCCAGCAGGAGAAGAUGCCAGAGCUGGGAAGGCCUGGCUGUACACUUGCUGUGAUCUUCACCCAGGGUUUAGCCCCUGGCUCACUUGAGUUUGGCUUUUCCACCUCUCUCCAACCGCUCCUGGGAAGCCGCCUUGGCCAGAAUCACCGCUGUCCCCAGGUGACCGCCUCCACCCUGUGCUCUGGGAUGCACCUCCUGGCUCGGCCUCAGCAGACCCCCUGCCCCUUUUGUUUUUCCUCCUCCUAUCCCGGGACUGGUCUCUUUUCUCCCCAUAUUCAGAUAAUUUCAGGCACCGUCAGGUCAAGGUGACUAAAGCUGGAUGAUUCCGUGGGAUUAUUUCAGAGGAUAUUAAACCUUGGGUGGGUGGUUGGAUUCUAGUAGUUUCAGUUAUCUCCCAAUCAGGAAGUGACUGGCUGCCAGCUCUCGCCUUUACAUUCUUCAUAACCACUCAUGAUAAUGCAAUCCCGCACCUGUCCUUUCUGCACCUUGUGACAGGUGCCCAGGUAAUGGUGGCCUGCCUUAGCUUUGCUGAGGUAAAGGGCUGCCCGACGUACCCCCACAGCAGGGGCCUUGGUUCCACCCGGUCUGAUCUCAUCUGCUCGUCCAACUUGCAUGUGGUUCCCAGUAACCCCUGCUCAGCCCCUCCCUGCUCCGUUGCUUCCCCCGCUCAGGAGCUUCUGAUCCUCUUCAGUUCCAGAUCAGUUUUUCCUUCCCCAAAUGGAUGGUUCCUUGCAAUAUACUGACUGUAGCUGUUUCAUCAGAUACAAAGGUCCUCCCAUUUUUCAAGGAAGGUUCUGCAUUUGGGGCUGAAGUUAUGGAUAUGUCAACUAGUCUCGAUGCCAAUGUCCUCACCUUUUUUCGGGGGUCUUAUUGCUUCUGGCGAUGUCCCUAUCUUAUGCCCUGAUUCUGUUUUAGGCCAGCUUCAAGCAGGGUAAUUCUGUUACCUGUUUCCUUCCCUCCCUCCCUGUUCUCAUCUUUUCUUCUCUCUCUCUUCCUCCUCUGUGUUAAUGAGAGCUUCUCUCUCUCUCUCUCUCUCUUCCUCCCCCCCUCUCCCUCCCUUCCUCUGUCUCCCUCCCUCCCUUCCUCUCUGUCUCUCUUUUCCUCUCUCUCCCUCUUGCUCUUUCCCUCCCUCCAUUUCUGUUUCUCUCUCUCCCUGCCUCUCUCUCUUCUUGUUUCUCCUCUUUCUUCCCCACCCUUUCCCUCUCUCCCUUUCUCUCUCGCCCAUCUGUGUUAAUGAGAGCUGGAAGCAGACAUAUGGAAGCAUGACACUAUGAGUGUCCACCCUCAGGCGCAGAACAGGAGGCUGUCUCCCAUCUCUACCCAGCCCCAGGAGGGCAGGUUUCCCCACACUGUAGAAAAUUGCAAAACAAGCCCGAAGUGUCUGAGGGCUUGCACGGCAUUCCGUCAUGAUAUGCUGAAAACCUGGUUACUUAUAAAGCAAUUUGCUCCUGCAGGCUGGUUUGAGAUUAAAAUGGUAAUUAUCUUGCAAAUGACUGUAACUGUCUUUCAUAAAUGUGGCAAUGUUUGAGAUGUGACUAACUGCGGUCUGCAGGAUAAUGGGCUUAAUAAACGAUAUAUUUAGUGUAUUGUCAGGGAACAGAGCCUUAGUAGUUGGAGACGGGACAAUACUAUAAUUUCAGCGAGCUAGAGUCCAUUCUUCUCCCCAGCCAUGGUCCCCCACCCCCCUUCAAUAGCAUGUGCUCAUCAUUUUUUUCUUAAUAGGACAUUUUUCCUUAGGAUAAUUUGCAAAUUGCUAAUCUG